ACUCCUACGGGAGGCAGCAGUGGGGAAUAUUGCACAAUGGGGGAAAGCCUGAUGCAGCCAUGCCGCGUGUGUGAAGAAGGCUUCGGGUUGUAAAGCACUUUCAGCGAGGAGGAAAGGAUGUUGGCUAAUACCAGCAUCUG
rnacentral:rRNA from 1 species